UAUCCACUCUCCAUUUCCCUUCAGCUGUGGCCUUUGUCUCUACUGCUAUGGGCCUGGCCACCUUCAACAUCAGGAUUUUUGAAUAUGUGUGGGGCUUUCACAGGACUGGUGCUUUUCAACAUCUCUGCUAACCUGAUUAAGGUCACUACUUCCUGGGUUACGGUGUUCUCCCUCAUCACAAUGGUGAAUACCAUGGGCCUGGGAGCGUUCCUCAUGUUUGGAGAUGGCAAUUCCGUGGACUUGUGGAAUUUGUCCCAAGUCACACUUGUAUGACCCACACAGAGAUACUGCCAAUAACUUAGUGUGUAUACACUCCCCUGCAUAUUUAUUUGGACAGUGAAGCUAAAACUUGUAAUUUGUCUCUGU